CGGAGGAUCCAAGCGUUAUCCGGAAUCAUUGGGUUUAAAGGGUCCGUAGGCGGGUUUAUAAGUCAGUGGUGAAAGCCCAUCGCUCAACGAUGGAACGGCCAUUGAUACUGUAGAUCUUGAAUUAUUAGGAAGUAACUAGAAUAUGUAGUGUAGCGGUGAAAUGCUUAGAGAUUACAUGGAAUACCAAUUGCGAAGGCAGGUUACUACUAAUGGAUUGACGCUGAUGGACGAAAGCGUGGGUAGCGAACAGGAUUAGAUACCCUGGUAGUCCACGCCGUAAACGAUGGAUACUAGCUGUUCGGAGCAAUCUGAGUGGCUAAGCGAAAGUGAUAAGUAUCCCACCUGGGGAGUACGUUCGCAAGAAUG
rnacentral:rRNA from 1 species